AUACAUAGUGCCCUGUUUCAU
rnacentral:siRNA from 1 species